GCCAGGCACGAUGGUGCAUGCCUAUAAUCCCAGCAGCUUAGGAGGCUGAGACAGGAGGAUCGCGAGUUUAAAGUCAGCCUCAGCAACUUAGCAAGACACUAAGCAACUCAGCGAGACCCUGUUUCUA
rnacentral:sRNA from 1 species